rnacentral:rRNA from 1 species
UGGGGAAUAUUGCACAAUGGGCGAAAGCCUGAUGCAGCGACGCCGCGUGAGGGAUGACGGCCUUCGGGUUGUAAACCUCUUUCAGUAGGGAAGAAGCGAAAGUGACGGUACCUGCAGAAGAAGCGCCGGCUAACUACGUGCCAGCAGCCGCGGUAAUACGUAGGGCGCAAGCGUUAUCCGGAAUUAUUGGGCGUAAAGAGCUCGUAGGCGGUUUGUCGCGUCUGCCGUGAAAGUCCGGGGCUCAACUCCGGAUCUGCGGUGGGUACGGGCAGACUAGAGUGAUGUAGGGGAGACUGGAAUUCCUGUUGUAGCGGUGAAAUGCGCAGAUAUCAGGAGGAACACCGAUGGCGAAGGCAGGUCUCUGGGCAUUAACUGACGCUGAGGAGCGAAAGCAUGGGGAGCGAACAGG